rnacentral:tRNA from 1 species
GCGCCCAUAGCUCAACGGAUAGAGUGUUGCCCUGCGAAGGCAGAGAUGGUGGUUCAAUUCCACCUGGGCGCA